GGCUCCUGAUAUAGGAGGAUGCUAUUCCACAGAUGUUUCUGAAUUCAUACUACUUGGGAAACUCUUCAGAUCAAGCUUGCUUCAUGUCGGUUGUAAAAGAUGGCAAUUUUGUAGUUCAUCAUCUUUCUCUUCAGUUGCCUCUAAUGAGGUCUCUCCUGAAGGUUUGUGGGAGGAUCUGAAGCCUUCUAUAUCAUACCUUUCACUUAAUGAGCUGGAGUUGGUCCAUAAUGCCCUCAAGCUAGCUUUUGAGGCACAUGAUGGUCAAAAGAGACCGAGUGGAGAACCAUUCAUCAUUCAUCCAGUUGAAGUUGCACGUAUUCUCGGAGAACUUGAAUUGGAUUGGGAGUCGAUUGCAGCGGGAUUGCUUCAUGAUACUGUGGAAGAUACAAAUGUUGUUAAAUUCCAAAGAAUAGAGGAGUUUGG